AUGAACGCUAGCUACAGGCUUAACACAUGCAAGUCGAGGGGCAGCAUUUUAGUUUGCUUGCAAACUGAAGAUGGCGACCGGCGCACGGGUGAGUAACACGUAUCCAACCUGCCGAUAACUCCGGGAUAGCCUUUCGAAAGAAAGAUUAAUACCGGAUAGCAUACGAAUAUCGCAUGAUAUUUUUAUUAAAGAAUUUCGGUUAUCGAUGGGGAUGCGUUCCAUUAGUUUGUUGGCGGGGUAACGGCCCACCAAGACUACGAUGGAUAGGGGUUCUGAGAGGAAGGUCCCCCACAUUGGAACUGAGACACGGUCCAAACUCCUACGGGAGGCAGCAGUGAGGAAUAUUGGUCAAUGGGCGCGAGCCUGAACCAGCCAAGUAGCGUGAAGGAUGAAGGCUCUAUGGGUCGUAAACUUCUUUUAUAUGGGAAUAAAGUUUUCCACGUGUGGAAUUUUGUAUGUACCAUAUGAAUAAGGAUCGGCUAACUCCGUGCCAGCAGCCGCGGUAAUACGGAGGAUCCGAGCGUUAUCCGGAUUUAUUGGGUUUAAAGGGAGCGUAGGUGGAUUGUUAAGUCAGUUGUGAAAGUUUGCGGCUCAACCGUAAAAUUGCAGUUGAAACUGGCAGUCUUGAGUACAGUAGAGGUGGGCGGAAUUCGUGGUGUAGCGGUGAAAUGCUUAGAUAUCACGAAGAACUCCGAUUGCGAAGGCAGCUCACUAGACUGUCACUGACACUGAUGCUCGAAAGUGUGGGUAUCAAACAGGAUUAGAUACCCUGGUAGUCCACGCCGUAAACGAUGGAUACUAGGUGUAGGAGGUAUCGACCCCUCCUGUGCCGGAGUUAACGCAAUAAGUAUCCCGCCUGGGAAGUACGAUCGCAAGAUUAAAACUCAAAGGAAUUGACGGGGGCCCGCACAAGCGGUGGAGUAUGUGGUUUAAUUCGACGCAACGCGAAGAACCUUACCAGGUCUUGACAUUGAUCGCGAUCUGCAGAAAUGCGGAGUUCUUCUUCGGAAGACGAGAAAACAGGUGGUGCACGGCUGUCGUCAGCUCGUGUCGUGAGAUGUUGGGUUAAGUCCCGCAACGAGCGCAACCCUUAUCCUUUGUUGCCAGCGCGUAAUGGCGGGAACUCAAAGGAGACUGCCGGUGAUAAACCGGAGGAAGGUGGGGAUGACGUCAAAUCAGCACGGCCCUUACGUCCGGGGCUACACACGUGUUACAAUGGGGGGUACAGAAGGCGGCUACCUGGUGACAGGAUGCUAAUCCCAAAAACCUCUCUCAGUUCGGAUCGAAGUCUGCAACCCGACUUCGUGAAGCUGGAUUCGCUAGUAAUCGCGCAUCAGCCAUGGCGCGGUGAAUACGUUCCCGGGCCUUGUACACACCGCCCGUCAAGCCAUGAAAGCCGGGGGUACCUGAAGUACGUAACCGCAAGGAGCGUCCUAGGGUAAAACUGGUAAUUGGGGCU
rnacentral:rRNA from 1 species